CAGUCGAGCGAUUUACUUCGGUAAAGAGCGGCGGACGGGUGAGUAACGCGUGGGUAACCUGCCCUAUACACACGGAUAACAUACCGAAAGGUAUGCUAAUACGAGAUGACAUAAGAGAUUCGCAUGGAUUUCUUAUCAAAGCUUUUGCGGUAUAGGAUGGACCCGCGUCUGAUUAGCUAGUUGGUAAGGUAACGGCUUACCAAGGCGACGAUCAGUAGCCGACCUGAGAGGGUGAUCGGCCACAUUGGAACUGAGACACGGUCCAAACUCCUACGGGAGGCAGCAGUGGGGAAUAUUGCACAAUGGGCGAAAGCCUGAUGCAGCAACGCCGCGUGAGCGAUGAAGGCCUUCGGGUCGUAAAGCUCUGUCCUCAAGGAAGAUAAUGACGGUACUUGAGGAGGAAGCCCCGGCUAACUACGUGCCAGCAGCCGCGGUAAUACGUAGGGGGCUAGCGUUAUCCGGAAUUACUGGGCGUAAAGGGUGCGUAGGUGGUUUCUUAAGUCAGAGGUGAAAGGCUACGGCUCAACCGUAGUAAGCCUUUGAAACUGAGAAACUUGAGUGCAGGAGAGGAGAGUAGAAUUCCUAGUGUAGCGGUGAAAUGCGUAGAUAUUAGGAGGAAUACCAGUUGCGAAGGCGGCUCUCUGGACUGUAACUGACACUGAGGCACGAAAGCGUGGGGAGCAAACAGGAUUAGAUACCCUGGUAGUCCACGCCGUAAACGAUGAGUACUAGCUGUCGGAGGUUACCCCCUUCGGUGGCGCAGCUAACGCAUUAAGUACUCCGCCUGGGAAGUACGCUCGCAAGAGUGAAACU
rnacentral:rRNA from 1 species